GUCAAGGCCCAUGAUAGCUGAAAGACUUAUUAUUAUUCAGCUGGCUAAAUGCAUUUGAAAAUUAUCUUUAGUCAUGCAUUGUGCCAGAACACUCUCCUCAGCAGACCCGGAUGAAUAAACACAAAUUAAGCUAGCCUCGUGUUUAUUUCUUGGGUAUAUAGCCCACAUGUUUAACUAUAUAUAUAGCUAUAGCCUUCGUGUUUAACGAGGAUGUUGAUGGGGUAUAUUGUGAGUCGUGAUUCACUAAAUUUCGGUUACUGUCAGUUGUGAAAACACUAAAAAUUUGGUGUGAAUCGUGAGGAAAAAAAUACUGUUUAUCAUUUCAGAACACUUUUCAAAGAUUCACAGUUAAAAUACCAAAAUGUUACUUAUUGUUACUGUUAAAAUGCCAAAAUGUUUACUGAUUACCGAUUUUCAG